ensembl:lncRNA
GUUAGAAGAGUGAUGCAGUAUUCUGCAAAUCUUGGCUAUGGUGAGUGAUCUUACACUAAAUAAUGGUCUAUGUGGGAUGCAGUACUUUCAGCAUUAAGCAAAGGAAAAUAAUUGUAAGAGGUAAGAAUCCAUGUUUCAGUAAUAGUGUGUUGGUGUUCACAGUUUAGAAUCAGUAAUUUGAUAGAAUUACUGCAGUAGUUACUCCAUACAGAUGAUUGUAGCUGCAAGUGGCGAACAGAUGUGCAGUUACUCAGUAUAAAACAGUUGCUGUCCUGUAUCUACGCUGUAAUAUACUCACUCAAUUCUGCCUUCCAGACAGGAAUCUGUUGCUAAGAAAAGCUACUUGUUUCUCACUAACUGCAUGGACUAGCAGUUCUCUAAGGCAUGAUUCCAAAAGCAGUGGGCACAAUAUACUGCUCCAGAAUUAGUCUGCAAUCCCUGUUCUGUAGGAAAUGAAGCUAUCUUGUUCAGCUACACAACUCAGCACUGAAUUUUGUCACACAGGAGUAUUCUGGCAUAACACUGCAUUGUUUAGCAGCAGCCAACGAAGUGCAAUAUGCAGUUCAUGGAUCCUGAUAAACUGUUGACACCUGCAAAUGAUAUGACUUGAUGAUAGCCUGAAUUCUCAUUAAGUAGGGGACAAAAUAACAUGAGUUUGUAUAGCAAAACUGUUUUCAGACUGAGUGGUGGCAGAAGCAGGUGAACUUGAGGGUAAGUAUGUUACUUCUUGGAAGUCAGUUAAUAGAUGUGCAAUUUUCUUGGACAUAAUUCAGUUUACUCUAUUCCUGGUCACCUCCUUAGCUAGGCUAAAUUCCUUACUGAGAAAACUUCCACUUUCUAGCUUCUUCAUGGAAUUGUCAUUCUUUAUAGUUCUUUGUAGUUUUGACAAUACUGAAACUCAUGUUUGUGUUCAUCCUUAUGGCAAGUCAACAAGUAUCUGUGAAAGGAUAAAUGCUUGAAGAGUACUGUUAUUCAUUAAAAUGACUUGCAGGACUGCAAGGGCGCAGUGGCACUGGUGUUAUACUUUCCAACAGCAUUUCAGCUCUGUGAAGCACUGAAAUAGAUGCAGAUCCUAUUUUCUGUGGUUUCCUGUGCCCUUGUGAUGCUCACAGUUUUUAGUGGUACCUUUUUACAGCGUGCUUAAGAACUUAAAAAUGGAGAUUGAAGGCAGCUACUUCUCAGGUGUACCAUUAGACAGGAUAAGGAUCUAUAUCUGCUACAAGAAAUCUACAAGUAGAGCUGAGUCGUUUAUUUAUUGCUGUUCAUUUAUGGGUUUUGUUUAAGCAUUAAAUAGUAAAUAAUGCACAGUGCUGUCAGAUGCUGG